rnacentral:rRNA from 1 species
AAGCUGGGCGGCAGGCCUAACACAUGCAAGUCGAGCGGCAGCGGGAAAGUAGCUUGCUACUUCUUGCCGGCGAGCGGCGGACGGGUGAGUAAUGCCUGGGAAAUUGCCCAGUCGAGGGGGAUAACAGUUGGAAACGACUGCUAAUACCGCAUACGCCCUACGGGGGAAAGCAGGGGACCUUCGGGCCUUGCGCGAUUGGAUAUGCCCAGGUGGGAUUAGCUAGUUGGUGAGGUAAUGGCUCACCAAGGCGACGAUCCCUAGCUGGUCUGAGAGGAUGAUCAGCCACACUGGAACUGAGACACGGUCCAGACUCCUACGGGAGGCAGCAGUGGGGAAUAUUGCACAAUGGGGGAAACCCUGAUGCAGCCAUGCCGCGUGUGUGAAGAAGGCCUUCGGGUUGUAAAGCACUUUCAGCGAGGAGGAAAGGUCAGUAGCUAAUAUCUGCUGGCUGUGACGUUACUCGCAGAAGAAGCACCGGCUAACUCCGUGCCAGCAGGUA